UCCUACCCUCUUGGCCCAGUCCUGGCCAUGGAGCCAUAAUGGAAAAAACUGCUUGGCUGGAUUCUGAGAAGUUUCUGCCUUUCCUUCUCCAGGUGCCUGAAUAGGGCUCUGGGAAUUGCUGUAGCCAUCAUACUGCAAGCCUAAAGGACAAGGCCCUCACCAAGGAGGGCAGGGAGUGGAUGGGUAAGGAUCUGGGAUGGCUGACUUUGUUGAGUUGCUCCUUCAGCCAAGCUGGAGCAAGCCUAGCCUCUGCAGUCCUGUCAGGUGUGAUGACCACGCAGCUGAGUUCUGGUCAACGGGGUGCAAGCAGAAGGAAUGGGCUCCACUUACAGACCUGACCACAACCACCUCCCUGAGAGACUCUUUGCUUUUCCCGUAAGUGAAGAGGACUCCGAGGACCCAGGGAAAGGGGGAACUGCAAGGUAGAAAAAGUCAGGUUCCCUGAAGGACAAAAGAACAGUCUCCCUGC